UCCUCUCCGACCUCAUCCACGGCUUCCUGGUGAUGUGCUCGUUCUUCCAGACCUCUUCCCCGUCUCAAUCUCGUCCUCGUUUUCUUUCUACCGACUUUGACCACCGGUAACCUCCGCAGGAGCUCGUCGCCGGCGACGCCGCGGUGCCUCCCUGACCGUCUCAUCACCCGAAGCUGCACCACCCCGCUGAGCCGCACCCUCGACGCCACUUCUCUGGACCUGGUUCGCUCCCAGUCGCCCAAACCAUCUCCGACCUGCUCGUCCACCAUGGCUGCAGUAUGCAAGGUCGACCCGGCCUUAUGUAUGUUCUUGUUGACGUGCACCUGGCACUGUUCAUUGAUCCGCAACUAGCCUAGCUGAUCUCGCAGCGAAGGAUGCUUCAAUUUGCGUGGAGUCUUUCCCAAAUCAACAUACACACAUUAGCCUGGCUGGUGGCCCCUUCUGUCAGCCUCCACCGGCGCCACCUCAUCCUUCCUGCCUCGUCAGCGCCUGUCAGCAUCUCCCUGGCCCGCUAGUCAGCCUCUUGGGCUAUCUCCUC